UCUUGACUAUAAGAAAUAAAAAAUGCUUUAGUAUACUUACCAUCACAUGGAUUACAAUUCAAUUAUACUUAUACAUGGAAUAGGUCUACUGAAAACUAAAUUGAUAUGUUAUUUCCUGUAGUUCAUGAGACCUUGCACUACUCUGAGUGUGUGGAGGCAGUCUGCAAGAGGUCAAUGGAAGAGGCAAGACAAGAAGUAGAGGCUACCCCAGAUUACAAGAACCAUGGGGAUUGUAUUAUUACUGAUGCUCGCCAUGAUUCAUCCAGAGGAGCAGCGCACACAACAGUGUCAUAACUAUCAUAUACGUAAGUCAUUUUGGUCAUUAGUAGGUGAAUAAGUAGAUUACAGUCAGCAAGUUGUCAAGUAAAUGAGUAAUAUUUUAUGUUACCCAGUGACACCUUUUUGUCAUCUAUUUUUAAAAAAUACAUAAAUGGGGCUGCAUUUACACUUUAGAAAAGCCAUAUUCCACUGUAGUAAGCAAGCACUGCAGAAAGGUUGUAUGUUUAUAUAUAUACCUAUUUCACAAAAGGUUGUCAGUGCAAAUGGCGAAAGGCAAAUGGUAAAUGGCUUAUGGGUACUAAUUUUUCGUUUUUUUUUUUUUAUCAAAGCCAGCAAGCUUAAGUAUCUUAGCUUUGGUAAUAGUGAGAAAAUAAAGAGGGAGAUAUUACUG